UACAGAGGUCCCAAGCGUUGUUCGGAUUCACUGGGCGUAAAGGGUGCGUAGGUGGUAAGGCAAGUCAGGUGUGAAAUCUCCGGGCUCAACCCGGAAAUGGCAUUCGAAACUACCUUGCUAGAGGGUUUGAGGGGGGGACUGGAAUACUUGGUGUAGCAGUGAAAUGCGUAGAUAUCAAGUGGAACACCAGUGGCGAAGGCGAGUCCCUGGAAAACUCCUGACACUGAGGCACGAAAAGCUAGGGGAGCAAACAGG
rnacentral:rRNA from 1 species